rnacentral:rRNA from 1 species
GGCGGACGGGUGAGUAACGCGUGGGUAACCUGGCCUAUGGAUGGGGAUAGCCUCGGGAAACCGGGAUUAAUACCGAAUAACGUUAGAUGGUCGCAUGAUCGUUUAACCAAAGGGUUUAUUGCCAUAGGAUGGACCCGCGUCCCAUUAGCUAGUUGGUGAGAUAACAGCCCACCAAGGCGACGAUGGGUAGCCGGCCUGAGAGGGCGAACGGCCACACUGGGACUGAGACACGGCCCAGACUCCUACGGGAGGCAGCAGUGGGGAAUAUUGCGCAAUGGGGGAAACCCUGACGCAGCAACGCCGCGUGAAUGAUGAAGGCCUUCGGGUCGUAAAGUUCUGUCAAAGGGGACGAAAAAAAUGACGGUACCCUUAGAGGAAGCCCCGGCUAACUACGUGCCAGCAGCCGCGGUAAUACGUAGGGGGCAAGCGUUGUCCGGAAUUACUGGGCGUAAAGGGCGUGUAGGCGGUUUUUU